rnacentral:tRNA from 1 species
GGGGCUUAGCUCAGCUGGGAGAGCAUCUGCCUUACAAGCAGAGGGUCAUAGGUUCGAGCCCUAUAGGCCCCA